rnacentral:tRNA from 1 species
UCCCUGGUGGCUAGGAUGGUAAAGCGUCUGUCUGCAAUGCAGGAGACCUGGGUUUGAUCCCUGGGUUGGGAA